UCCGGCUUAACGCCGGCAGUCCCCCCAGAGUCCCCGGCCGAACCGCUGGCAACUGGGAGCGAGGGUUGCGCUCGUUGCGGGACUUAACCCAACAUCUCACGACACGAGCUGACGACAGCCAUGCAGCACCUGUGUUCCAGGCUCCGAAGAGAGGGUCACAUCUCUGCGACCGGUCCUGGACAUGUCAAGGGCUGGUAAGGUUCUGCGCGUUGCGUCGAAUUAAACCACAUGCUCCACCGCUUGUGCGGGCCCCCGUCAAUUCCUUUGUGUUUCAGUCUUGCGACCGUACUCCCCAGGCGGCGAACUUAACGCGUUAGCUUCGACACUGAGAGCCUGAUUGCUCCCAACGUCCAGUUCGCAUCGUUUAGGGCGUGGACUAC
rnacentral:misc_RNA from 1 species